rnacentral:ncRNA from 1 species
UUUAAAUGGGGUGCUGGUAUAAACCGGCUGAGAGUAAGGCUGAUAUGUCUUUAACCCAAAUACCUGAUCUGGAUAAUGCCAGCGUAGGAAAGUAGAUGAU